UACAGAGGGUGCGAGCGUUAAUCGGAAUUACUGGGCGUAAAGCGCACGUAGGUGGCUUGGCAAGUCGGGUGUGAAAUCCCCGGGCUCAACCUGGGAACUGCAUUUGUGACUGCAUAGCUGGAGUGCGGCAGAGGGGGAUGGAAUUCCGCGUGUAGCAGUGAAAUGCGUAGAUAUGCGGAGGAACACCGAUGGCGAAGGCAAUCCCCUGGGCCUGCACUGACGCUCAUGCACGAAAGCGUGGGGAGCAAACAGG
rnacentral:rRNA from 1 species